rnacentral:lncRNA from 1 species
AUAAAAAGAAGAAAAAGUUAACUCAGGAUUAUUUAAUGGUACUUUAACAUCAGUGUUGUAUUUUCCUGUUAAAAAUAUCAGCUAUAAAAAUAGGAAGAACCUUGUCGUUUAGAAAUCAAUAUACAAAGUGCAGUUGGUUCAGGUUUGCAUUACUGAUGAAAACCUGCUUACUCAAAUCAGCUACUUUCAGUAGGAACCACUGUGGAUCAGAUCCUUGCGUCAGUCCACAUUCAUUUUAGGUGCAGCAUAGACCGCAGUACAUAUCUUCUGUUUCAACAUCACUCUAAUUUAAGCAGCCCCUAAAGUUGGAGCUAUUCUCAUCAAGCAUCUGGAGUGCUGACACCUGAGAUCUGCGGCUGGCUGCCCAUUCCCCUGCUGGUUUCCUCAGCAGAAGGCAGCCAUCUUUGUCACUGUUGAGGGACUUGGAAGAGGACAGGCCUAGACUGAGCUAACAUGGAGCAGAAAACCAAGGGAGACAAACCCGAGGAACAGAAAAAUCACCCCAAUUUUCUUUUGGCGAACCACUCCUGCCCCCACACUUGACCCCAGUGGUUUGUGAGGAGCCACCCUCAUACCCCAGAUUCAUGGACGAGUAUAUGACCUAGGCCUACACAAUGAGUGAUGUGUCCUCUUAUCACAGUGCCUUAGAGGAUCGACGGGUCCAGUGGGCCAGCCGGGGUCAGUCCCAGGAGCUUUUGCCUGUGCUAUCAGUAAAGCGGAGCUCUCCACUGUGGGGGUGCUCCAGUGGAGUAAGUCAGCCUGAACUCAAGUGGCCAGCUUUGCACACACAGGAGCCCUGACUGAGAAUAAUGCCAGAACGAGAGAUGGAGAGACUCAGGUGCCUGUGACAUCGUUGGCUCACAGGAGUCCAGUGGUAUCUGAAGCUGUCUCUGGAAUUCUCCAUCCAAGCCAGUUUGAAUGGAGACUCUGGCAUGGCAAACUCAGAGACCAGAAUAAAGUUCACUGUUGAACAGCUCCACUAAAAAUGAUCUUCCUGGAAAAAAUAAAUGGCUUGGUAGUUGUAUUUUGAUUAUUCUAUGUUGAAUGUAUCAAUUGUCAGAUAUAUGAGUGUUUGAGUGGGAUAGUUCAAAUGAAGCUAUUUUGGUGUAUUGUACAAGCAAUAUUUGGAGUUUUUAAGUUAAUGCAAGUUUUAUAAGAUUCAAGCCACAACUGGGUGAGGUAAACACGAGGAAAGGUGCUUCCCACGUAGUGUCUAAAUUGUGGGGAAAACAUCUUCAGUUCUUUAGUAUACAACAAGUUAAGGCAAUUAACUAACCCUAUCAACUCCUUAGAUCAAACUACAAAAAUGAAGGAGGCAAAGAAAGGAGGUAUAACUGACUGACUACAUGACAUUACAUCACAGU